rnacentral:rRNA from 1 species
GGUGGCGAGUGGCGAACGGGUGGGUAAUACAUCGGAACGUGCCCAGAAGUGGGGGAUAACGUAGCGAAAGUUACGCUAAUACCGCAUACGUUCUACGGAAGAAAGUGGGGGAUCGCAAGACCUCAUGCUUUUGGAGCGGCCGAUGUCUGAUUAGCUAGUUGGUGAGGUAAAGGCUCACCAAGGCGACGAUCAGUAGCUGGUCUGAGAGGACGACCAGCCACACUGGAACUGAGACACGGUCCAGACUCCUACGGGAGGCAGCAGUGGGGAAUUUUGGACAAUGGGCGCAAGCCUGAUCCAGCAAUGCCGCGUGAGUGAAGAAGGCCUUCGGGUUGUAAAGCUCUUUUGUCAGGGAAGAAACGGCAGAGGCUAAUAUCCUUUGCUAAUGACGGGCCUAAGAAAAGCACCGGC